UAUAAACUCUCAACUCUCUCUCUAAAACUCGCUUUCUCUCUCUCUAAAAUUCAAUUUCUCUCUCUUUCAAAUCCAGGAAUCCCAAACACUCGAUCAUGAAACCAUAUAUGAUUUUAAGAGCACACAUGAUGCGAUUAGGAGGCUACAACAGGAAGAAGAGGCGAUUACGAAGGCAAAGAAUCCGGUGAAGAAGAAGAUGUUGACGGUGGUUGUGGCCUGAAUAAAAGAUGACUGCUACAAGGAUUGGUUGGGUUUCCCCGGUUGUGAUAAUGUGAUAGUGUGGUUCAAGGAAGCGAGGACAAGGCGGCGGCUAGGGUUUCACCAGCAGCACUCUUUUGUUCAAUCUUGCAUCAAGAUUACAAAAAUCACUUAUCGGUAUUAUCUAAUUACAAAAAUCACUUUUAAUUUAUAUCAUCAUUCAUUUUGCAGUUUCCGAGAUUCGUGCACUCUUUUGUUCAAUCUUGCAUCAAGAUUUUGUUUAACGGUCGUCUCUGGAUGGUUAAAGAAAGCAGAUUAAAGCAAAAGAAGCUUCAAAAUCAGUUGAAAAUUCAGUCCUAGUCUCAUGAAGUAGAGGUUAUCGAAACAUUGAACACCCAAUUCGCCUCGGUCUGGCUCUCAAUUUCUGUGUCUUUUACUAUGAAAUUUUGAACUCUCCAGACCGCGCUUGCAGCCUUGCAAAACAGGCUUUUGAUGAAGCAAUUGCAGAGCUAGAUACUUUAGGUGAGGAGUCUCACAAAGAAUUGUUGUUUACUUUUUGUAAACAUAUAAUUACAUAGCAUAUUGUGACAUAAGCAAAGCAAGUUGGGGUUUGAGCUGGAUGGAGAGAUGGAUUGCGGUAUGCCCGUGGGAGACCCGAGCCAUUCCCUGGCACAUCACCUCAACUCGGGCAGCGAAAAUGAAUAAACCAGCUAAAAAGAUAAAGCAUGCAAAAACAAACAUGUUUAUUAGCGACGCAUUGGUGCCACCAUUCAGAUUAUGCAUACACGCUAAAGUUUAUCCCUUUUGACCUAGGUUUAUCUUUAGAUAGAUGUGAGUGUGUGAGAAACCUGGUACUUGAUCAAGAAUUGUUAAAAAGGAUCCGUUCAGGUCAGGCCAGUCACUUUGACUAAGAAAAAAAGCAACCUAGAUGCAGUUUAACCUUAUUCCUUAAUGACUGAGAAUGAGUUCCAGAUUCGUUUAAGUAGAAUCGAUGUGCAACAAAGCUGAUCACUCCUUCUGGUUUUCAGCAGAGCAAAGCAGUGCAGUGCAGGCUGCGUCUUCAACACUUGCGUUUUCUACGCAACUUUCUUAUCAAAUCCACCACCUUUAAUUGUGUUCUUCCAGUUCAGAACAUCAUUCAUUGGAUUUGAUGGGUGCCACGUCCCAGUUUGGGAAAGAGUCCUUGCUGGCAGAAGGGAGGUGUGGGCCCGUUUACCGAGCUGUACUGCCAGGUGAUAUCCACGUGGCAGUGAAGGCGUUGGAGAGUGCUAGAGGGAUGAGUCAUGAUGAGGCUGUUUGUAUGUUUGAAGAGCUUUCGAAGCUCAUUCAUCCAAAUUUGUUGUUUAUUGUGAACUUAGCUGCUGCAAGAAUCAACGGCAUGGUUGAAAGACUAGAGUUGUCACGAGAAAUAAGAGAAAGGGUACACUCUCUUUUUCAACAGAUUCUGAGUCACCGAACAACGUUGUUGUUCAACCGCCAUAUUCACGAGAUUGUCAUAUUCACGAGAUUGUCUUUUCAACAGAUUCUGCCAUGGCUACAGAAAACAACCACAUUAACAUUAACACGGGUGUACACCUA